GAUGAACGCUGGCGGCGUGCCUAAUACAUGCAAGUCGAGCGAAUGGAUUAAGAGCUUGCUCUUAUGAAGUUAGCGGCGGACGGGUAAGUAACACGUGGGUAACCUGCCCAUAAGACUGGGAUAACUCCGGGAAACCGGGGCUAAUACCGGACAAUAUUUUGAACUGCAUGGUUCAAAAUUGAAAGGCGGCUUCGGCUGUCACUUAUGGAUGGACCCGCGUCGCAUUAGCUAGUUGGUGAGGUAACGGCUCACCAAGGCAACGAUGCGUAGCCGCACUGAGAGGGUGAUCGGCCACACUGGGACUGAGACACGGCCCAGACUCCUACGGGAGGCAGCAGUAGGGAAUCUUCCGCAAUGGACGAAAGUCUGACGGAGCAACGCCGCGUGAGUGAUGAAGGCUUUCGGGUCGUAAAACUCUGUUGUUAGGGAAGAACAAGUGCUAGUUGAAUAAGCUGGCACCUUGACGGUACCUAACCAGAAAGCCACGGCUAACUACGUGCCAGCCGCCGCGGUAA
rnacentral:rRNA from 1 species